CUGUGUCUAGCUAGAGGUUUGUAAACACACCAAUCAGCACUCUGUCAAAACGCACCAAUCAGCUCUCUGUAAAAUGGACCAGUCAGCUCUCCGUAACAUGGACAAUCAGCAGGAUGUGGGUGGGGCCAGAUAAGGGAAGCAGGCCUCCGAAGCCAGCAGUGGCAACCCACUUGGGUCCCUUUCAAUGCUGUGGAAGCGUUGUUCUUUCACUCUUCUCAAUAAAUCUUGCUGCUGCUCACUCUUUGGGUCUGCCCCGCUGUUAUGAGCUGUAACACUCACAGCCAGUGUCUGCAGUUUCACUCCUGAAGCCAGCAAGACCACAAACCCACAGGGCGGGACAAACAACUCCGGACAGGAGGAAUGAACAACUCUGGACGCGCCACUUCUAUGAACUUUUAUGAACUGUAACACUCACCGCAAAGGUCUGCAGCUUCACCCCUGAGGCCAGGGAGACCACGAACCCACCGGAAGGAAUGAACAACUCCAGACGCACUGCCUUUAAGAGCUGUAACACUUACCACGGAUGUCUGCAGCUUCACUCCUGAAGUCAGCGAGACCACAAACCCAACAGAAGGAAGAAACUCCCGACACAUCUGAACAUCUGAAGGAACAAACUCUGGACACACCAUCUUUAAGAACUGUAACACUCACCGUGAGGGUCAACCGCUUCAUUCUUGAAGUCAGCCAGACCAAGAACCCACCAAUUCCGUCUAUCUGAAUCAUGUUAUUGGACCAUGAGAGCAAGCAGCUGGAUCUCAUUCUGUCCAGGACUCCUGGAAACAGCAGCUCUAACAAAAUUGUCUUCAAUAAAUAAGUUUUUUUGCAUCACAUUUGUGUAUGUCCUGAAUGUUCUGAGCCCUUCAGAUUUGACUCAUAUUCAUGCUAAAAGAAAAAAUGCAAAUGAAAAUUGUAUAGCUAAUUAUGAGAAAAAUAAAGCAUCAUAAGAAAACCAGUAAACUAUAUUUUUAACAAACGAAAAUGUAGAACAUACUUACCUAUACUUUUAGUUUAAGGGGAAUAUUCUUUCAUUAUAUAGGUUUAUGAAAUACAAUAUUAAGAAUGGUAAAGAUUAUUAUUUUACUGACUUUAACUACAAAAAUGCCUUUGAGAAAAUGUUUUCUUCCCUGGAUCUUGACCUAAUUGGAUAAUUUUAUGUGAGCUAAUAUUUCCGGUCUGAUAAGACUUUCAAGGGAGCCAAUUAUGUGCUUUUAUCCCAUCAAUAUUGCAGUAUUACAGGUUUUUCUGUGGCCUUUUGUACCAUUUUUUUGUUGCUGUUGUAAAUAUUAAGUUUUGCUCUUUGGGAGAAAACAUUUCUUCCUUGACUGUUAUUGCUGCUGAUAGCUAGAAAGGAUUACCAGUAGAACCCCUGCUUUAAAGAAAAAGAAAAAGAUUGGGCUAUAAAUGAUUGUUUUUUAUUUCAAAAUCCAUCAAACUGAGUUUAACUAACACUAGAGCAUUGCAGAUAGCUUACUACAGAAAUAGUUUUUUUUAAUUUCUUAU
rnacentral:lncRNA from 10 species